UGUGUGUUAGUGGAAGCGUCUGGAAAGGCGCGCGAUACAGGGUGACAGCCCCGUACACAAAAAUGCACAUGCUGUGAGCUCGAUGAGUAGGGCGGGACACGUGGUAUCCUGUCUGAAUAUGGGGGGACCAUCCUCCAAGGCUAAAUACUCCUGACUGACCGAUAGUGAACCAGUACCGUGAGGGAAAGGCGAAAAGAACCCCGGCGAGGGGAGUGAAAAAGAACCUGAAACCGUGUACGUACAAGCAGUGGGAGCCUCUUUUAUGGGGUGACUGCGUACCUUUUGUAUAAUGGGUCAGCGACUUAUAUUCUGUAGCAAGGUUAACCGAAUAGGGGAGCCGAAGGGAAACCGAGUCUUAACUGGGCGUUAAGUUGCAGGGUAUAGACCCGAAACCCGGUGAUCUAGCCAUGGGCAGGUUGAAGGUUGGGUAACACUAACUGGAGGACCGAACCGACUAAUGUUGAAAAAUUAGCGGAUGACUUGUGGCUGGGGGUGAAAGGCCAAUCAAACCGGGAGAUAGCUGGUUCUCCCCGAAAGCUAUUUAGGUAGCGCCUCGUGAAUUCAUCUCCGGGGGUAGAGCACUGUUUCGGCAAGGGGGUCAUCCCGACUUACCAACCCGAUGCAAACUGCGAAUACCGGAGAAUGUUAUCACGGGAGACACACGGCGGGUGCUAACGUCCGUCGUGAAGAGGGAAACAACCCAGACCGCCAGCUAAGGUCCCAAAGUCAUGGUUAAGUGGGAAACGAUGUGGGAAGGCCCAGACAGCCAGGAUGUUGGCUUAGAAGCAGCCAUCAUUUAAAGAAAGCGUAAUAGCUCACUGGUCGAGUCGGCCUGCGCGGAAGAUGUAACGGGGCUAAACCAUGCACCGAAGCUGCGGCAGCGACGCUUAUGCGUUGUUGGGUAGGGGAGCGUUCUGUAAGCCUGUGAAGGUGUGCUGUGAGGCAUGCUGGAGGUAUCAGAAGUGCGAAUGCUGACAUAAGUAACGAUAAAGCGGGUGAAAAGCCCGCUCGCCGGAAGACCAAGGGUUCCUGUCCAACGUUAAUCGGGGCAGGGUGAGUCGACCCCUAAGGCGAGGCCGAAAGGCGUAGUCGAUGGGAAACAGGUUAAUAUUCCUGUACUUGGUGUUACUGCGAAGGGGGGACGGAGAAGGCUAUGUUGGCCGGGCGACGGUUGUCCCGGUUUAAGCGUGUAGGCUGGUUUUCCAGGCAAAUCCGGAAAAUCAAGGCUGAGGCGUGAUGACGAGGCACUACGGUGCUGAAGCAACAAAUGCCCUGCUUCCAGGAAAAGCCUCUAAGCAUCAGGUAACAUCAAAUCGUACCCCAAACCGACACAGGUGGUCAGGUAGAGAAUACCAAGGCGCUUGAGAGAACUCGGGUGAAGGAACUAGGCAAAAUGGUGCCGUAACUUCGGGAGAAGGCACGCUGAUAUGUAGGUGAAGCGACUUGCUCGUGGAGCUGAAAUCAGUCGAAGAUACCAGCUGGCUGCAACUGUUUAUUAAAAACACAGCACUGUGCAAACACGAAAGUGGACGUAUACGGUGUGACGCCUGCCCGGUGC
rnacentral:rRNA from 1 species